rnacentral:rRNA from 1 species
UGAGGAAUAUUGGUCAAUGGGCGAGAGCCUGAACCAGCCAAGUAGCGUGCAGGAUGACGGCCCUAUGGGUUGUAAACUGCUUUUAUAUGGGGAUAAAGUGGGGAACGUGUUCCCUUUUGCAGGUACCAUAUGAAUAAGGACCGGCUAAUUCCGUGCCAGCAGCCGCGGUAAUACGGAAGGUUCGGGCGUUAUCCGGAUUUAUUGGGUUUAAAGGGAGCGUAGGCCGUUUGGUAAGCGUGUUGUGAAAUGUAGGAGCUCAACUUCUAGAUUGCAGCGCGAACUGUCAGACUUGAGUGCGCACAACGUAGGCGGAAUUCAUGGUGUAGCGGUGAAAUGCUUAGAUAUCAUGAAGAACUCCGAUUGCGAAGGCAGCUUACUGGAGCGCAACUGACGCUGAAGCUCGAAGGUGCGGGUAUCGAACAGG